AGCGCUUCUCGGCCUAUCGGCCAAGAUCAAGUGUAGUGUCUGUUCUUAUCAGCGUAAUAUCUGAUAAGUCCUCUAUUUGAGGACAAAUGUAUUAAGUGGAUUUUUGGAGUUGGGAGAUGGAAUAGGGGCUUGCUCCGUUCACUCCAUGCAUCAGCCUGGUAUUGCAGUACCUCCAGGAUUGGUGCCCCUCCC